UUGGGCUGGUGUUUUAAGCAGAGCCAAAACCACAUCCUCCAGAUCUCCCUUCAGAGCGCUCUUCAGCGCUGGUUCCAGAGGCUACAAGUGAACAACUGAUGAAAAUGUUAUCAGGAGGUUACAUAAUAGAAAACAAAUGAAUCCAUGGCCCACUGCAUAUCGGUGCACCUCAGCAUAACAAUACCUGAAGGAAUGACUGAGCACAGACAACCUUAACAUUCCUCAAAGGAGUCUGCCUUUGGUCUGAUGAGGCAAUGAGUUUCUUCAAGGUGUGGCAUGUUGUCAUGACAUCACGGCCAGGACCUGACGCUACCUGCUGUCUACGUGCCUCAGCCAGGAUAAUGACUGAUGACAGCAUCAUUCGAGCCUAGUCAUACUUUUUCAUCACACUAAACAAUCAUGUAAACAUUUCCUUCACAGAAGAAAAUUUUGUCCAGACCUUUUCCUGUUGUGACCAGUGCAUUUGUGUUGGAUAGAUGGAAUCUUAUUUGCCAAAUUGGACCGAAGUCUCUAAUCUUUAAUUUGACAUAGUAACACCGUGUACAUCCAUAGUGAAAUAUGGUGAGCACAGGGUUUGAAUUGUGAAAAAGGAAGGAGGGGCUAAAGCUGUAUUUUCAUUAAAGUGGCAUCAUGGGUGGAUUUAUCUCUAAGCAAGGUGUGUUAAACAGAUGGUCAAGCUGUGAUCCAAAUGUUCCAAAUGAGUCUCUUGAUCUAAAAAAGAAAAGAAAAGCCUCAUAGAAGAGCAUGACCAUAAGAUUAUAUUCCACAUUUACUUCUUUCAGAGGUAAAUGGACACAGUACUUUAGCAAAUAUAUAAAAACUGAAACAUCUGAUGUUUUGUCUUCAUCACAACAAAUCUGCAUAAACAUAUGCUAAAUUUCUGAUAGUCCUCUGUGGAGUUCACCUGGAUGUAGGUGUCUUAUUUAUUCCCUUGACCCUAACAAUUGAGGAAAGUGUGGGGUCUCCGGGAAAACAAACAGAAACAGUGAAGUGAGUAAAGUGUGUAUGAACUGUGUGUCUCUCUGUGUGUGAGAGAGCAUCCAGUUACAAUCUCUAUCUUACACACAGGAAACCUGAGGACUGUUUCAGGCAUCUUUUUAUCUGCAGGCUCUGUGGGGUUUAAGCCAGUACCUGGUGAAACUCCAUAUCUGCAGGUUUAAUAUUUAAAGACUGUUGAGAGUUUGGUUCCCCUAAGAGAUCCUGCAUAGCAGCACACAGACACUAACUUCACUGAAUCAAACUGAAGGGAUCUGAUCUGCUCCCAGACCAGAGCUUGGACUGAACCAGUUGCAUCUGCUCACCUGUAAAAACCAAACACAAGCCAACACCCAGUUAUAUAUAAA